rnacentral:misc_RNA from 1 species
AAGUCGUAACAAGGUUUCCGUAGGUGAACCUGCGGAAGGAUCAUUAGUGAUUGGCUCCGGCCUAUUCGAUUCAAACCUCUGUGAACCGUGGCCUCCGGGCCGAUUUUAAACAUCAGUGUAAAGAAUGUAAACAUCUUAAUAAGAAAAACUUUCAACAACGGAUCUCUUGGCUCUC